GCGCGGGUGUUGUAAUUGGUAGCCAAGCACGCUUGAGGUGUGUGUGUCCGUAAGGACGUGGAGGUUCGAGUCCUCUCCCGCGCACCA
rnacentral:tRNA from 1 species